rnacentral:rRNA from 1 species
UCAUGGCUCAGAUUGAACGCUGGCGGCAGGCUUAACACAUGCAAGUCGAGCGGGGAAAAGUAGCUUGCUACUUUACCUAGCGGCGGACGGGUGAGUAAUGCUUAGGAAUCUGCCUAUUAGUGGGGGACAACAUUUCGAAAGGAAUGCUAAUACCGCAUACGUCCUACGGGAGAAAGCAGGGGACCUUCGGGCCUUGCGCUAAUAGAUGAGCCUAAGUCGGAUUAGCUAGUUGGUGGGGUAAAGGCCUACCAAGGCGACGAUCUGUAGCGGGUCUGAGAGGAUGAUCCGCCACACUGGGACUGAGACACGGCCCAGACUCCUACGGGAGGCAGCAGUGGGGAAUAUUGGACAAUGGGGGCAACCCUGAUCCAGCCAUGCCGCGUGUGUGAAGAAGGCCUUUUGGUUGUAAAGCACUUUAAGCGAGGAGGAGGCUCCCAGUAUUAAUACUACUGGAGAGUGGACGUUACUCGCAGAAUAAGCACCGGCUAACUCUGUGCCAGCAGCCGCGGUAAUACAGAGGGUGCAAGCGUUAAUCGGAUUUACUGGGCGUAAAGCGUGCGUAGGUGGCCAAUUAAGUCAAAUGUGAAAUCCCCGAGCUUAACUUGGGAAUUGCAUUCGAUACUGGUUGGCUAGAGUAUGGGAGAGGAUGGUAGAAUUCCAGGUGUAGCGGUGAAAUGCGUAGAGAUCUGGAGGAAUACCGAUGGCGAAGGCAGCC